rfam:Jaapia argillacea MTCL 33604 unplaced genomic scaffold JAAARscaffold_1, whole genome shotgun sequence.
GCCCUCGUUGUCUAAUGGCUAUGACGUCAGACUUCUAAUCUGGAGGUUGUGGGUUCGAGUCCCACCGGGGGCU